rnacentral:lncRNA from 1 species
AGGGGGUUACCUAGAGCGCUCCGUAACUUGUUAUUUUUUGAUCUUAUUGGAUGUAUCCGUACUAUAUUAAUUAUCCACUUUAGCAAAAAAAAAAAAAUCAUCCAUUGCGGAACAAUAUUUUUGAUUUGAUAGGACAUGCGUUCUUUUCUGCGUUAUUGGGCAAAUAUUUCCAAAAGAGGUCCAACUUAGGGUAGGAGGUUUUAAAGAAGCCCAGAAAGAUUAUGGAUGCGGAGGGUGUUGAAAGAGAAAUAGAUGCUUAAUAUUUGCCACCAGGUGAUAAGAUAAGGCUAUCUCUAUGCGACUAUACCGAUUCAGGAAAUCUCUUCAAGACCCAUCAUUUAAGAUUCACGUUGCAAGCAAAAGCAGGGAUUUGUAAGACUGACCUCAGUUCAAAAAGCAAGAAAACCCUUCCUCUCUUUCUUUCCUUCUUUCUUUUAACCAUUCAAUCAAGCACCAGGGAGGCUUCUGGAUCUGUCUCAUCAAGUUCUCAUAGCUCCGCCCAUUCGCUCCCUUCCCCUAUAUCCAAUCAGUCGUUGGACACGGUCGAGGACGGCGAUGGAGCGAGC